GAUGAACGCUGGUGGCGUGCCUAACACAUGCAAGUCGAGCGAUUCUCUUCGGAGAAGAGCGGCGGACGGGUGAGUAACGCGUGGGUAACCUGCCCUGUACACACGGAUAACAUACCGAAAGGUAUGCUAAUACGAGAUAACAUGCUUUUAUCGCAUGGUAGAAGUAUCAAAGCUUUUGCGGUACAGGAUGGACCCGCGUCUGACUAGCUAGUUGGUGAGGUAACGGCUCACCAAGGCGACGAUCAGUAGCCGACCUGAGAGGGUGAUCGGCCACAUUGGAACUGAGACACGGUCCAAACUCCUACGAGAGGCAGCAGUGGGGAAUAUUGCACAAUGGGCGAAAGCCUGAUGCAGCAACGCCGCGUGAGCGAUGAAGGCCUUCGGGUCGUAAAGCUCUGUCCUCAAGGAAGAUAAUGACGGUACUUGAGGAGGAAGCCCCGGCUAACUACGUG
rnacentral:rRNA from 1 species